rnacentral:rRNA from 1 species
AACGUAGGGGGCAAGCGUUGCCCGGAUUUACUGGGCGUAAAGCGGGUGUAGGCGGUCCUCUAAGUCGGAUGUGAAAUCCUACGGCUCAACCGUGGAACUGCAUCCGAUACUGGAGGACUUGAGGACGGUAGAGGUCGGUGGAAUCCCCGGUGUACCGGUGAAAUGGGCAGAUAUCGGGGGGAACACCAGUGGCGAAGGCGGCCGACUGGGCCGAUCCUGACGCUGAGACCCGAAAGCUAGGGUAGCGAACCGG